rnacentral:rRNA from 1 species
GUAGUUAGCCGGGGCUUCCUCACAAGGUACCGUCACUUCUUCGUCCCUUGCGACAGAGGUUUACAACCCGAAAGCCUUCUUCCCUCACGCGGCGUUGCUGGGUCAGGCUUGCGCCCAUUGCCCAAUAUUCCCCACUGCUGCCUCCCGUAGGAGUCUGGACCGUGUCUCAGUUCCAGUGUGGCCGAUCAGCCUCUCAGCUCGGCUACCCAUCGUCGGCAUGGUGGGCCUUUACCCCGCCAUCUACCUAAUGGGACGCGAACCCCUCCUAAAGCGAUAAAUCUUUGACCUCUGCCCGAUGCCAGGCUGUGGUCUUAUGCGGUAUUAGCACCGAUUUCUCGACGUUAUCCCCCUCCUUUAGGUCAGGUUGUUCACGCGUUACUCACCCGUUCGCCACUAAAAUAGUUCAAACCGAAAUACUAAACAAUCUCCGUUCGACUUGCAUGUGUUAGGCACGCCGCCAGCGUUCGUCCUAAGCCACGAGUCAAACUACUGA